rnacentral:lncRNA from 1 species
ACUUCCGGGGGGCGGCGCGAACGGUAAUGGCGGUCUUCUCCCGACCGGAGAAGAAGCUCCGCUGAAAUCGGGUCGUCCGCUACGGCGAAGCGGAGACCCAACGAGAAAAACCCCAGGCAGCAAGAGCCUGGGGUCCUGAGGCUCGGCGGGCGCCAAGAGCAGCCCUCCAACUGCAGAAGGAGCCUCGUAAGAGGCUCCGGAGCGUGGAGGGGGGCUGCGGCGCUGUGAGCCGUUUCACAGUCAGCGGAGUGAAGCCGCGCUGCUGCUGCCGGUGAGCGCUGAUCCCUUUUCCUGUUAAAAUUCGGACCUGGAAGAAAACAACUUACUCGUGAGUAAAGACUGAAUCACUUGGAAUUACAAAUUUUAAAUGAGAAGGUUUAAAUUGACUUGAAUUUGGCUGAAAGCGGAGAGACGUGGAAACAGGAAGUCCGUCUUCCGCUGCCAUUGAACUUGGAAAAAAAAGCAACUAAGGUGGAGGAGUGGAGGCUGAAAGAAAGAGAUUUUAAACUCUACACAGCCAAGCAUCUAUGGAACUUACAAUUUAAAGUAAAACUAGCAAGUUAAAGAUUUGGACCUUUUAUUUGCACUUGACUUUCCCCUUUUAUUGGAUUACAAAUUGGAAGGUGAAACCCAGAGUCAGGAUUGCUUGAGCACUGUAACAGUGGGCUGUCAGUGUUUGACUUGGAUACUGUAUAUUAGAAGUUGCAACAAUCUGAGGGUAUUGAGACCUUUUAAAUUUGAAACAUUCUUUUUGGAGACAAAUAAGCACUGUCUGCAACAAAGUGAUUACUUUUAAACUCUGCUUAAUACUUAUAUUGGAAGGUUCUGGGACAUUAAAUCAGACUCUGAAAAGACAUUUUAAGCUCCCUCUAGAGGAUUGGAUUAAAACAGUGACUUUAUAAAUACAUUUACUUUCGAUUCUCUUGUUGUCUGCUUGCUCUGGGCCUCUCUAUUCCUGUGGGAAAAACUCAGUGUGACCUUGACUGAUAGAUAACAUUGGAAUGAGUGGUACAAGAAGAAGAGGAAGAGUUAGACAAACAACUCUAACAAACCUAACCUCAGCCUCGCAGACACGUAGAUCAUCUGUGCCUACUUUGCCCUCAGAAGUACAACUUGAAGAAGCUGCCUUGCUACAGGCAAAAGAGGGAGAGGGUGAAGUAGAGCAGUUACAAUUGGAAGAUAUGGCCUCAGGAGCAUCUGUUUCUGUGCUAGAAAAAUCUUUGAAAAAUUGGAAGCUUUGGACAAGAAAGUAGAUGCGCAAUCAGCAAAGAUUGAUAAAAAUACAGAUUGUCUAAACAAAUUAACUACACAGGUGGGACAGAAUACACAAGCAAUUGGACAGUUGACGGAGGCCUCAGUAGAAAACCGAAAAUUGGCUGAGGAUACCAGACAAAAAUUGGAAAAUUUAGAGCAAGAGGUAAGACCACUCACUAAACAAGUUGGGGAACAUCAGACUUAUCUUUCUAUGAUAGAACUGCGAAAUCGUGAGAAUAAUUUGAGGAUUAGAUCAUUACAAGAGGCAGAAGAAGGAAAUCUAACUGAGUUUUUGACCAAAGAACUUUCCAAGUUCUGGAAUUUGGAAGAAAAGGACUUUAAAAUUGUGUCAGCUUUCAGACUUGGAAGAUUUAUAAAGAAGGAGAGGCCCAGGGAUUGUUUGAUUACAUUGAGAUCGAAGGAGGAAAGGGAUAAGAUUUUGGGCCUACAUUACGAAAAGUCACUGGAAGUUUUGGAUAGAAGAAUUGAGAUAUAUAAAGAUAUCCCAAGACAACUGUUGGACCUUAGAGCCGCCUAUUCCGAACUUGCUAAACUAUUAAGGAGCAACGCAAUUCCAUUCAGGUGGGAUUUUCCCCAAGGAUUAUCUUUUACCUUUAGAGCGAGAAAGGUUAAAAUUAGAACAUUGGAAGAGAGAGAUAAAUUUCUGGCUACACACGGAGAGGACCUACAUAAAGGAAUUGAACUACCUUCCGGGCCUGAGGCAAAGCCAGCAUCAAUACCUCCACCUCGGGAACUUGAAGAUCAAGAGAAGACACCACCCCAGGAGAAAUAACCAGAUAGAUCCAGGAUGUCUCUGCAACUGUUGAGCUGGAAUAUUAAUGGUUGCAAUAUUCCGGAGAAAAGGAAGAAAAUAUUUCAUAUAUUAAAAAAAGAACAAUUGGACAUUAUUUGCUUACAAGAAACACAUGUGACGAGGCUCCACAGAAAAGUGUUAAUAAAUAAAAGAUUGGGCCAGGAAUUUAUUUCGUCGGAUAAAGUGAAGAAGAGAGGAGUGGUGAUAUAUGCAAAAGAGAGCCUGUCACCUAAAUUUCUAUUUAAAGAUGAACAUGGAAGGAUUUUGGCUAUUGAGAUACAAUAUCAAGGAGAGAAACUGCUGAUAUUAGGAAUCUAUGCGCCUAAUGAAGGGAAAUCGGAAUUUUACAAGAAGUUGCAGGGGACAAUGCUGGAUCAUCUGGAUUACAACAACAUCAUAAUGAUGGGAGACAUGAACGGGGUCGUGUCAACUAACAUGGACAAGUCGCAAAGUCAAAACAUCACAAAAGAUGGCAGACUACCUAAAACCUUUUUUGAAAUGACUGACAAUAUGGAUUUGAUCGACAUUUGGAGAACAAAGAACCCACUAGGUAGAGAAGGAACAUUCUUUUCUGAAGCCCAACUGACCUGGACAAGAAUCGACCAAAUAUGGAUCUCUAGAGGCCUGGCACCUAGGGUUAGAAAAGUGGAAAUCUGCCCAAAGACCUGUUCUGACCACAACGCAGUAAAGAUGGACAUGACACUACUACCAACUGGAUCCUUUAGAUGGAAGAUGAAUGACAAUUUGUUUAGAGAUCAGGAAAUUACCAAGAAGGCCCAAAAAGUUUUGAAAGAUUAUUUUGAGAUAAAUAUGAACAAUUCGGUGGAAAAAGAAUCGUCUGGGACGCAAGCAAAGCUGUCAUGAGGGGAUUCCUGAUACAACAGAAUGUAG